AUUGAACGCUGGCGGCAUGCCUUACACAUGCAAGUCGAACGGCAGCACGGACUUCGGUCUGGUGGCGAGUGGCGAACGGGUGAGUAAUGUAUCGGAACGUACCUUUCAGUGGGGGAUAACGUAGCGAAAGUUACGCUAAUACCGCAUAUUCUGUGAGCAGGAAAGCAGGGGAUCGCAAGACCUUGCGCUGAUUGAGCGGCCGAUAUCAGAUUAGCUAGUUGGUGAGGUAAAGGCUCACCAAGGCGACGAUCUGUAGCGGGUCUGAGAGGAUGAUCCGCCACACUGGAACUGAGACACGGUCCAGACUCCUACGGGAGGCAGCAGU
rnacentral:rRNA from 1 species